rfam:Cuculus canorus isolate BGI_N303 unplaced genomic scaffold scaffold154, whole genome shotgun sequence.
CGCAUACUCCUUUCCGCAUUCUUCCUCAUGGCCAAAAGCAAAUAUUUAUUCCCCACAUAUUUUUCCUUUUCUUUCAGGCUCCAGUUUUGAAACCUGUGGAUUCCCCCGGCCAACCAUUGCUUGACUGGCAUAAAUUGGGUCGGUUUGUUUCUCUGGUUUCUCGAGGCUGCUUCUGAAAAUCGGGGGGUGGGGGAGAGAGGAAGGGAAGGCAGCACUAUGGGGCAGCGCUGUUUUACAUACGGGUUAGACACGGCUAGAGGCCAAGGUCAAGUUGAAAGCUGCAGUCUAGCCAAUGCGAGAACUGUCAUUCACGGCCCGAAGAUCUGUCUGAUUUGUUAAAAAGCGGGUAGCCAUGAAAACACUAAAGUCUCCAACUCGCCCUCC